ensembl:misc_RNA Y_RNA Y RNA
GGCUGGUCCAAGUGCAGUGGUGUGUACAACUAAUCCAUCCCAAUUGUUACAGAUUCCUUCGUUCCUUCUCCACUCCCCCUGCUUCACUUGACUGGCCUUUA